rnacentral:rRNA from 1 species
GGUUGGUGGUGCAUGGCCGUUCUUAGUUCGUGGAGCGAUCUGUCUGGUUAAUUCCGAUAACGAACGAGACUCUUGCCUGCUAAAUAGACGGCGCCGACUACGGACGGCGACCGUUCGCUUCUUAGAGGGACAAGCGGCUUUUAGCCGCGUGAAGCGGAGAGCAAUAACAGGUCAGUGAUGCCCUCAGAUGUUCGGGGCCGCACGCGCGCUACACUGUUCGCAUCAGCGUGUUUCUCCCGCGCCGGUCGGCGUGGGCAACCCGUUGAACCGCGAACGUGCUAGGGAUCGGAGAUUGCAAUUGUUCUCCGUGAACGAGGAAUUCCUUGUACUGGCGAGUCAUCAGCUCGCGGGGAAUCUGUCCCUGCCCUUUGUACACACCGCCCGUCGCUACUACCGAUUGAGUGGUUUAGUGAGGCUCACGGACCGCGCGCGGCACACGGCGCUCUCGGGCGUCGCGUCGCGAGGCGGAAAGUGAGACGAACUUGAUCACUUCUAGGAAGUAAA